AACGCACAUUGCGCCCCUUGGUAUUCCAUGGGGCAUGCCUGUUCGAGCGUCAUUUGUAUCUUCAAGCUUUGCUUGGUGUUGGGUGUUUGUCCUGCUCUAUGCGUGGACUCGCCUUAAAUCAAUUGGCAGCCGGUAAUCUGGUGUUAAGAGCGCAGCACAUUGUGCGCUCCUCGCUGUGUAUUGCGGCGUCCAUUAAGCCUAUAUUUCUUUGCUCUUGACCUCGGAUCAGGUAGGGAUACCCGCUGAACUUAA
rnacentral:misc_RNA from 1 species